UACAUAGGUCCCAAGCGUUGUUCGGAUUCACUGGGCGUAAAGGGUGCGUAGGCGGUCGGGUAAGUCUGACGUGAAAUCUCCAAGCCUAACUUGGAAACUGCGUUGGAUACUAUCCGGCUUGAGGAAUGGAGGGGAGACUGGAAUACUUGGUGUAGCAGUGAAAUGCGUAGAUAUCAAGUGGAACACCAGUGGCGAAGGCGAGUCUCUGGACAUUUCCUGACGCUGAGGCACGAAAGCCAGGGGAGCAAACGGG
rnacentral:rRNA from 1 species